UAAUGGCGGGGCAGAGGCCUUGGGACUGGUGGUGGCGUGUGGAGGGGCCGCGGGGCCUCGUCGCCUCGUCGCCUCGCCUCGUCCUACCGACUCGGCCGGGGAAGGAGGGGCGGGCUCUGUGAGGGCGACCCGGGCGCCGCCGGGCCCUCGGCGCAGCCUGUCCGCGGGCGGGAGUGCGGAGGGGCCUGGGCGCCCGCAGCUCUCGGCCCUGGGCCGUGGGUGAGGGAGGCGAAAGCGCCGCGUUGUGUGUACGGUGCGCCCUAGUAACCCGGCCCGGGCCGCGGGUGACGGCUCCGGUCGGUUUCCACGUCCCGGCUGCUUCCUUCCUGCCUGGUUUGUUAAGCACUUUCUCGCUCGGGGAAUGGAUGCGUUCCUUGGUCAGCGUGCACACUCAUGUUUGCGUUCCCUUUUGCUCAUGCAGCAGUACGCUGUCUCUCUUGGGCUGGCAGUUUUGACAGUGUGUGAGGCUUCUGCUUUGCAGUAUUUGUCCUGUUGGUGCUCAGCCGGUGGUUUGAAAGCGCAAAAAAAAAAAAAAAAAAAAAUCACUGAAGUUGGUUGUGCUUUUUUGGUUUUUUUGUUUUGUUUUUUUUUUUUUUUUCUUUUCAGAAAUCACUUAAUAAAAUGGAUGGCAAAAUCCAAGCUGUAAGGAAGAUCUCUUCCCUUUGCAGGGUUGUUCAGGAGUCUGCUUCUAAUGCUGCAAAGGGUGGUGUGCAGAGACAGAAGAGUGGCUUUGAUGCAGCUGACUUGCUCUAAAGUGAAGAAGGCAUUUAAAACAACUUGAAGAUUUGAUCAAGGUAGAAAGAUAGCACUCCUGUUGUGGUCUGGAAGAGCAACUGUUGUAAACCAGAGAAGGAAGUUGACUGAUCUCUUGAAGAGCUCGGAGCUGAAGGUUCUUCUGGUUUUGGGGGGACUUUGUUCUUUUCAAGGAGGCACCAGCUACUGAACUUCUCUGCUCGUCUUCUCCUAGGUGUGGUGCUGUGACAUGACAAGAGGUAUGUGCUGCCUGUGAUUGCAGCUAGUCAUGUCAAGUGACCUGUGCUCUAAUCUUCUUUCCAGCAAUGCAAACCAACUGAUGUGACCGAUGCUGUUACUUCACGUUACUGUAAAUUAGAUUAGAAUCUGCUGCUCCUGGAUUUGUUUAAUUAGCUGGCAGUAUCUUUAAAAUGCCUUCUAGAGCAUUUGGACUGUGAUGUGAAACAUGCAUCAUUUUUAAGGCUUAAACCUUACUAAAUGAAGUGAAACAAUCUGAAAUCCUUCCACAUGUCAAGGGGAAAAGUUUAAGGUUUAAAUUCAGAUGGUUCUACAUUUUAAAACUUAAUAAAUGUCAGGAUAAGUGGGUACAAGUAACCCUUUCACCCCCACCCAAUUGAUACAAAAGACUUUUCUCACUUUACAUAAAUGUAUCUAUGUAGAUUGUAGCUUCCUCUGAACCACUUUUUUUUUUUGGCUUCUGACUAGAAAACAUGCAAAGAGAUGUUCCAGGGUAAGUACUUUGAAUUACUAUCAAGCUGCCAGAUGUUUUACCUAAAAAUAGUAGUAGGGAAAGAAAAUUCUUAAUUGAUUGCUUUCCUUUUCUGAAAUACACAGUAAGGCAGUUUUGACAUUAUUCUGUUCGGGUCAUCAAAUUCGCAUAAACCAUUGUACUACUAUGCAAGACAUACAUUUUAGAAGAAUGAAAAGUGCAGGAAGUUUGAAUGAUAUGUGAACAUAAAUUUACUCAUCUUUUAUAUAAUGCCUUCUUGAGGUGCUGACACUUUCAGUACCUUAAUUGUUCAUAAUGAAUACUCUUGUAUAAAGCAUUUCAGAGGUAAUUUUCUGAGGCCAAAUAAUGACUAAAAAGUUAUUCACUGAAGAACAGUCAAUAUUCUGUAUCCAAAAGUAGACUUACAAAAUGGGAAAUAAACUGACAUAACAGGCAAGAAAUUUGCUUAUAUGAAAGAAUCUGCCCUUUUACAGGUUCAGUGUCCUAAAAAAGAAGCCACAGAAGUGGUGUGUUGGCUGGUGCAGAGACAAAAUCAUUAUGUUCUAAUCAUAUGCCAUUGGAGGAAAGGAAAAAACCAGCUUUGGGCAAAAUGUCCAUACUGCUUGUAACUGAAGUCCAAGAUGUAGUCACCUCUGCUGCAAGUAAUAUGCACUUUUGUCCUAUAUGCUUCAGGAUAGAUAAUGCUAAUCAGUUAAGAUAAGGUAUGCUUAAAGAAUAUAUUUUAAAAUAAGAAAAAUAAAUUAGUCGACCUCUCAGGCUGCUUCUGGGCAGUAGAUUUUAAACAACUUGUCAGAUAUUUCUUGGCUGUUACAGCCUCGCAUAAGAGCUUUUCCUGGUUCAUAAAAAAAAAUAAUGUGAAAUCAAUAAUGGUAUUUAAAAAUUCACCGACCAUUUCCCAUCCAGAGAAGGUCUCACUUGCAGAGUGCCACUAAUGCAACAGGCAGAUUGGGAAAACCACACAGACUUGACCUUAAUGGUAAACGAAAGCGCAGUGAAGAAAGGUGCUUUCGGAAGCAACCAGGAGGAAGACCUGUCUGCUCCCCCACAAGAGCAAACCUUUAAACAGAGCUGCUGUGGGCAUCAGCUUGCAAAAGUCCUUUGCCUGAAGAUGUAGUCUAGAUGCUAUGCUGACUUCCAGCUGAAGGAUACAAGAUGGCAUGAACAGCAACAGAAAAUUAACAUCAUGAUGAAAACACCAAUAGAAACACAGUCAAAUUAAGUUCCCUAUGGCGUAUUAUAACCAUAUGACUUGCCAGACUUCAGACA